CACAGAGGAACUUGUUCCUUGGGUGGCGAGCGGCGGACGGGUGAGUAAUGCCUGGGAAAUUGCCCUGAUGUGGGGGAUAACCAUUGGAAACGAUGGCUAAUACCGCAUGAUGCCUACGGGCCAAAGAGGGGGACCUUCGGGCCUCUCGCGUCAGGAUAUGCCCAGGUGGGAUUAGCUAGUUGGUGAGGUAAUGGCUCACCAAGGCGACGAUCCCUAGCUGGUCUGAGAGGAUGAUCAGCCACACUGGAACUGAGACACGGUCCAGACUCCUACGGGAGGCAGCAGUGGGGAAUAUUGCACAAUGGGCGCAAGCCUGAUGCAGCCAUGCCGCGUGUAUGAAGAAGGCCUUCGGGUUGUAAAGUACUUUCAGUCGUGAGGAAGGUUGUAGUGUGAAUAGCACUAUGAUUUGACGUUAGCGACAGAAGAAGCACCGGCUAACUCCGUGCCAGCAGCCGCGGUAAUACGGAGGGUGCGAGCGUUAAUCGGAAUUACUGGGCGUAAAGCGCAUGCAGGUGGUUUGUUAAGUCAGAUGUGAAAGCCCUGGGCUCAACCUAGGAGUUGCAUUUGAAACUGACAAGCUAGAGUACUGUAGAGGGGGGUAGAA
rnacentral:rRNA from 1 species